AAUAGAUACCCGGGUAGUCCACGCCGUAAACGAUGGAUACUAGCUGUUUGGUUGUAAGACUGAGUGGCUAAGCGAAAGUGAUAAGUAUCCCACCUGGGGAGUACGGGCGCAAGCCUGAAACUCAAAGGAAUUGACGGGGGCCCGCACAAGCGGUGGAGCAUGUGGUUUAAUUCGAUGAUACGCGAGGAACCUUACCAGGGCUUAAAUGUAGUUUGACCGCUUAGGAAACUAGGCUUUCGCAAGACAAAUUACAAGGUGCUGCAUGGUUGUCGUCAGCUCGUGCCGUGAGGUGUCAGGUUAAGUCCUAUAACGAGCGCAACCCCUGUUGUUAGUUGCCAGCGAGUCAUGUCGGGAACUCUAGCAAGACUGCCAGUGUAAACUGUGAGGAAGGUGGGGAUGACGUCAAAUCAUCACGGCCCUUACGUCCUGGGCCACACACGUGCUACAAUGGACGGUACAGAGAGCAGCUACCUAGUGAUAGGAUGCGAAUCUAUAAAACCGUUCUCAGUUCGGAUCGGAGUCUGCAACUCGAC
rnacentral:rRNA from 1 species